rnacentral:rRNA from 1 species
UCGUAUCUGCUUACUGCCUCCUCCUUCUUUAAAGACCUAGCAUAGGUAUGCUUAGGGAGGAGCUUGCGUCACAUUAGUUAGUUGGUGGGGUAAAGGCCUACCAAGACUAUGAUGUGUAGCCGGGCUGAGAGGUUGAACGGCCACAUUGGGACUGAGACACGGCCCAAACUCCUACGGGAGGCAGCAGUAGGGAAUUUUCGGCAAUGGAGGAAACUCUGACCGAGCAACGCCGCGUGAACGAUGAAGUAUUUCGGUACGUAAAGUUCUUUUAUUAGGGAAGAAUAAAUGAUGGAAAAAUCAUUCUGACGGUACCUAAUGAAUAAGCCCCGGCUAACUAUGUGCCAGCAGCCGCGGUAAUACAUAGGGGGCAAGCGUUAUCCGGAAUUAUUGGGCGUAAAGGGUGCGUAGGCGGUUAAAUAAGUUUAUGGUCUAAGUGCAAUGCUCAACAUUGUGAUGCUAUAAAAACUGUUUAGCUAGAGUAAGAUAGAGGCAAGUGGAAUUCCAUGUGUAGUGGUAAAAUGCGUAAAUAUAUGGAGGAACACCAGUAGCGAAGGCGGCUUGCUGGGUCUUUACUGACGCUGAGGCACGAAAGCGUGGGGAGCAAACAGGAUUAGAUACCCUGGUAGUCCACGCCGUAAACGAUGAGUACUAAACGUUGGGUAAAACCAGUGUUGAAGUUAACACAUUAAGUACUCCGCCUGAGUAGUACGUACGCAAGUAUGAAACUUAAAGGAAUUGACGGGACUCCGCACAAGCGGUGGAUCAUGUUGUUUAAUUCGAAGGUACCCGAAAAACCUCACCAGGUCUUGACAUGCUUCUGCAAAGCUGUAGAAACACAGUGGAGGUUAUCAGUUGCACAGGUGGUGCAUGGUUGUCGUCAGCUCGUGUCGUGAGAUGUUGGGUUAAGUCCCGCAACGAGCGCAACCCUUAUUGUUA